ACAAGGUUCACAAUAUUCCCCAACAGCAGCAGAGCAGAAUCGAAUAUUUAGGGAGAAACAUGUUACGACACAUUGCAUCUGCUCCUUUAGGCCAAGCACCAAAAAAGGAAAGGGCUAAGCCAGCCUCCAGAGAGAGGCGGGGCGGCCGCUCCGCUCACUUGUAGAGACGAGAAGGCCAGUAACAAAGGGUCUCACAAGUAGCGAGUGCUGAAUGGAAAGAAUGUUAAACUCUUUGGAGAGACGUGAUGGCCUUACACUCUGCGUAAACACUCAAGGAAAAAAGGGGGAGGGGCAAUGAGAGGACACAGCUGUGCCCAAACACCUGUUCCUAACGCUAAGCUGCUGCCAGUUAUAAAGCUGGAGAGAGAGAGAGAGAGAGAGAGGCCGUGUGGAAGCCAUGACUGGGAAGGAAAAUUCAUAAUCACUGCUACUAAGCAUAUGGAAAAGCGAAAAAUGUAUUUGUUUCAUCCUAAAACACACCCUGAGGAAGGCAUCAGCUGUGGGGGUUGUAGCGGAGAGGAAGGAGGAAGGGGGCGUUGUUCAAUGCACCAAACCACAUCUCAAAGAUGGCCCUGGCUGUGAACGUGGGACUGAAGCGUGCUGGCGAUGCUGCUUGCUCCAGCUUCCGUACAGAUCAAAACCGCUCGAAAUCGCGCGUAACUCAGGCAUCGGUUACAUUAAAAACACACAGUCAACACAAGAGAAUAACGUUUUCUUCUUUUUUUAAACGAGAGUAGCGUAACACAUUUUCCGCUUGUAUAAUAAUCGUAUAGUGUACACGAUUGUAUAGAUUAAGUAAUGAGAAAUCGUAUGAAAUGAACGCGUUUUGUGUAGUUUUCUUGCGGGAGCUCCUCGGUUUUGGCUCGUGGCAGGAUUUUGCAUGAUGGGUGGGUGAGGGGCGGUAAAAAGGAGGAGACAUGAUGGCUCCAUGAUGGCUCCAUGUCUCCUACACCACCGUCCACACACUGAGGCAGACAGAAAAACGCGCUUUGCCAGCGUCAGCUGAAAAUUGCAGGUUACAUUAUGAAGCACAGGACAGUGGGCAGUCCACACUGUUGCAUCAGUCUGCUCAGGGGCCGCAGCUGCUCACGGUCUGCGCUGAGAAAAUGAAAUUGUGCCAUUACUGAAGGCUCAAUGAAGCCCAUAAGCGCUUCUGGUAAAUUUCCAUUCCCUACCUUUCAAACGUGUCGCAGGGAAGUCAGAAUCAACGUGGCAAGCUAUAUUACGGGAAACCUGAUCCACAUUUCCAAACCCCAGUAUAAUGAUGUGUCACACUUUGCCGACUGUAAGAUUUCGAUGAGGUGAGCGGGUCAUUACUGUGGUCACAAGACUCAUUUUCCUUCAACGCGCAUUCAAAUAGGCCAAAGCAACCUCGCCGCCAUCUCUGAACAACUUUCACCUCUAAACUAAUCAUCUUUACUGAGCCUGGACAUUUUACCUCACCGCAGUACAUUCAAGUUCACUUUCUUACACGAGAACCUGUUGCUCUUUACAUCCAAUACUGAGUUAUAUUUAACAUCUGGCAAGCUCUACAUUAGUCUAAGCCUAAAUCCAGCGACUGAAAGAACUGCGGAAGUCCUGUCUGAAGAAGGCAUCUAUACUAUCGAUGAUCUGUUUACCAACAACAAAUCAGUAGCCUACAAUAGCUUAUUAUGCUUAACCAAAAGCAUUUUCUUGUCAUUAAAAUAUAUAUAUAUGUAUUGAAUAAAAAAUACUAAUCACACACUUACUCCGCGUCCCAUUUUACGCCUUUGGGGUUUAAAUAGAGUAGAGAAAUAUUGUCUGUUCAAUCCAGAUAGUUAAAAAAUAAAUAAAGUCACUAAAUAAAACUUCCCGUUGGCUUGACACAGGCGCCCCUGAAUGCGUCCCGGCCACACGUGUCACUCCACCCGGACACGCACCGACCUCCGGCGGCGGCGCGCGGCUCCACACUUAUAUACCGCGACUCCUUUUUCUCGUGACGUCUGGUUCCUUUGCCAUGGUAACAUGGAGUAGGUGGAGUCUGCGACAGUGAGAGGGUCUGCUGCUGCUGUAGUGCACUUUAUAAAGUGAAUUCUUUUCCGGCGCUUUCAGCCAAAUUAAGCAGUAGAUUGUGGAAAAAUAUUUAGGUGGCUGAAAUGUUAUACUUCUUAGUUAGGCUUUCAAGAUAUUCCGUUUUCCAAAAAACGUUCUUUUGAAUUUCACAUAAAAAUAUAAAGAAAUUCAGUAAUGUUUACCAAGAUAGAGUAACAAAAUAUAUUUUUCCUUGUUGAGUUGAGUUUAUUAACUGACCAGUCAAGUGUAACUUCCAUAUAGGCUUAUAGAAAGUGAAAACUAAAAAUAUCAAAUAUUUACACACUGCAGGCUUUAACCUAUAAAUGUGUUGCCGUGGAAACAAUCAUGUUCCACCCCCAUUAGAGCAGAACAAUGUCCCCUAUGGGGGAAUGUUAAACUGCUGCAGUAAUAAAGAGACCUUAAAGGCCUGCUUCAGUUCCAGGAUAUUUUGCAUGAUUAUCAUAUGAUAAUGAUCAUAGCUCCACAAAUGCAUAUAUCUAGAUCUUAAAAAAAAAAUAAAUAAAAAAAAAGAUAUAUGAGAUGAUUUAUCUACUGCAGUGGCAGAAAGUAACACUCUUGGAUACCCAGAACAGAAGCCUUCUCUAAUAGCCGCUAUAAUCAGAUGUUAUCAGUUACAGGCUGUUUCUUCUUAUCUAAUUGGUUUGCAGAAGUGUAGCUGAAAUUGUAUUAUAUGACACUAAUCAAUACACUAGGUAGAUAAGUUUGUAUGUCAAAGAUAUAUUCAAUCAGGACUUUCUUGGCAUGCCUUUUGUAUUCCUAAGCUAACAUAUGUUAUUGCUGUGUCAGCAAUUUAAUCUUCUAUUCACUACUCUCUCAAUCAGUUUUAGCACAGUCAUAGUGAUUCAUUCUCUUUGGAGCACAUGACUUGUUCUGAUACAAUACGUUUCAUCCAAAUAAGAGAUGCUUAUAUUGCACAGUUAUGAGUUUGUUAUGACACAUUGCUGUAUUAUUAUGCUUGUCUUUUGGAAACAAGUAUGCAGUGUUUGUUUCUGCUGUUGUGCUUGCAUGAAAUAGGUCUCUUCUUUUUUUUGUAUUACUUCAUGUGGCUAAAGAUAGACAGUCAGUCUAGCAGUCUAGCUGUGAGGCCUACAUAUAUAGGCACAGGCAUGAUUUUAUUUGUGGAUAAUAAUGUUUUAUCAUGUACGAAUGAAAUAUAAUAAACACAUCAUACACA